AUUGAACGCUGGCGGCAGGCCUAACACAUGCAAGUCGAACGGUAACAGGAAGCAGCUUGCUGCUUCGCUGACGAGUGGCGGACGGGUGAGUAAUGUCUGGGAAACUGCCUGAUGGAGGGGGAUAACUACUGGAAACGGUAGCUAAUACCGCAUAAUGUCGCAAGACCAAAGAGGGGGACCUUCGGGCCUCUUGCCAUCGGAUGUGCCCAGAUGGGAUUAGCUUGUUGGUGGGGUAACGGCUCACCAAGGCGACGAUCCCUAGCUGGUCUGAGAGGAUGACCAGCCACACUGGAACUGCGACACGGUCCAGACUCCUACGGGAGGCAGCAGUGGGGAAUAUUGCACAAUGGGCGGAAGCCUGAUGCAGCCAUGCCGCGUGUAUGAAGAAGGCCUUCGGGUUGUAAAGUACUUUCAGCGGGGAGGAAGGGAGUAAAGUUAAUACCUUUGCUCAUUGACGUUACCCGCAGAAGAAGCACCGGCUAACUCCGUGCCAGCAGCCGCCGUAAUAC
rnacentral:rRNA from 1 species